rnacentral:rRNA from 1 species
AAUGAACGCUGGCGGCGUGCCUAACACAUGCAAGUCGAACGAGAAAGCCUGGCUUGCCAGGCGAGUAUAGUGGCGCACGGGUGAGUAACGCGUGGGUAAUCUACCUUUGUCUGGGGGAUAACCUACCGAAAGGUGGGCUAAUACCGCAUAACGUGGUCGAAUUGCGAUUUGAUCACCAAAGGAGGCCUCUCCUUGGAAGCUUUCGGAUGAAGAUGAGCCCGCGUCCCAUUAGCUAGUUGGUAAGGUAAAGGCUUACCAAGGCUACGAUGGGUAGCUGGUCUGAGAGGAUGGCCAGCCACACUGGAACUGGAACACGGUCCAGACUCCUACGGGAGGCAG